UGGGGAAUAUUGGACAAUGGGCGCAAGCCUGAUGCAGCCAUGCCGCGUGUAUGAAGAAGGCCUUCGGGUUGUAAAGUACUUUCAGCGGGGAGGAAGGUGUUGUGGUUAAUAACCACAGCAAUUGACGUUACCCGCAGAAGAAGCACCGGCUAACUCCGUGCCAGCAGCCGCGGUAAUACGGAGGGUGCAAGCGUUAAUCGGAAUUACUGGGUGUAAAGCGCACGCAGGCGGUCUGUCAAGUCGGAUGUGAAAUCCCCGGGCUCAACCUGGGAACUGCAUCCGAAACUGGCAGGCUUGAGUCUUGUAGAGGGGGGUAGAAUUCCAGGUGUAGCGGUGAAAUGCGUAGAGAUCUGGAGGAAUACCGGUGGCGAAGGCGGCCCCCUGGACAAAGACUGACGCUCAGGUGCGAAAGCGUGGGGAGCAAACA
rnacentral:rRNA from 1 species